UCGCCUGUUUAUCAAAAACAUAACAAUAUGUAUAUAUAUAUGGCUUUUUCUGCUCAAUGAAUUAUUUAAAUAGCCGCAGUACCUUGACUGUGCAAAGGUAGCAUAAUCAAUUGUCUUGUAAUUUAAGUCUAGAAUGAAGGAAAGAUUGGAAAAUAACUAUUUUUUAUGUACUUAUAGAAUUUACUUAAAAAGUGAAAAUUCUUUUAAUUAUACAUUAGACGAGAAGACCCUAGAAAUUUAUAUUGAUAUUAAUAUUUAGUUAAUUUUGUUGGGGCGACAUAGUAACAUAUAAACUUACUAAAAGUUUUUUGAUAUUUAUAUAAAGAAUAAGUGAAUUACUCUAGGGAUAACAGCAUAAUUUUAUGAAAGUUUGUGACCUCGAUGUUGGACUAGGAUAAAUUACUCUUUAGAAGAG
rnacentral:rRNA from 1 species